GGAUGAUGGGAUGGGCUGGGAUGGGAUGGGAUGGGAUGAUGGGAUGGGAUGGGAUGAGAUGGGAUCCAUGGGAUGGGCUGGGAUGGGAUGGGAGGUGCUCGGCUCCCUGUGGCAGCUCUGAGCUCUGGGCAGUUUUUCCAUGAGGUUUUCCUGUUGGAUCUGCCGCUGUUGUGAGCCUGGGAUUCCCGUUCAAGCCAGGACACCCCGCUGGCAGCAGCUUCCUCGGGAAGCCUGGCAGGAUGUUCUGCAGGAUCCACCUCUGGUGUGGCUCUGGGAAAACUUCCCCGAGUUGAUCCAUGUGGUUUUCCCUUUCCGAAGAGCUUGGUUUUGCCCUCCCUGAGUAUUUGGAAUUCCCAUCCCUUGGGAAUGGAGCUGUCUCGCCUCCUUGUCCUCCACAGGCUCUGACCUCACUGAAGGAUGUCCCUCCCCGCUCCAGGGCAGCUCCAGCCCAGCUCCCAUUCCUGGAUUUAUUUCCUAACAAACCUCAGGAGGGAUUUCUGGAGGGCACAGGGACACAUCCCGAGCCACAUUCCUUUUCCUGGGAAGGCUGCCUUGGACACACAGAGCCAGGCUCCUGCUCUGCCUCCCCAGGAGAGGCUCAGGGAAGGAGCUGGAGCUUCCCUGCUGCCAGGCUGGAGUGGGAUGAAGCUUCUUUGGGAUGCAGCACCAGGAAUCUGGCAGGGUUUCAGGGGCAAAGUGCUUUGGACACCACAGGAUUCUCCCACUUGGAAGUGACAGAUAAAAACUGCAGGGAGCUUUGGGAUGCCUGGGAGCAGCUCAGGAUUGAGAAUUCCCACCCAAUUCCCAUUAAACUCCGCAUCCCAGAGCUUCCUGCUGCCCCCUGUGAUCCCCUGGAUGCUGCUGAGGCUGAGGAGAGCCCCGGAGCUGCUGCUGGCCAGGCCCCAGUUCCCAGGAAAUUGCCAGAAAUCCCAGCUGGAAUUGUUUUCCCAGCCCGCUCAUUUCUCCCAGACAGCUCCUGCUCAGACUCCAGCCCUGCUCGGGCUCGGCACUUGUCCUUUCCUUGCUCCAGGGAGCUUUCCCAGCCUCUGCAUUCCCUCCAUCCCAGAUCCUCCUUUUCCAUGGAGUUUUUGUCCUUCAGGCUGGGAAAAGGAGGAGUGGAGGAACCCAAAAGGGAAGAGAGAGGUGGGAAAUUCCUGCUGCUGCAGCCUGGUGAUUAUCCCUCCUCCUUCUCCUCCUCUGGGGUCACCAGGAGCACUGGGAGCACUGGAGGCACUGGGGGCAAUGGGAACACUGGAGUCACUGGGAGCACUGAGGGCACCAGGAGCACUGGGGGCACUGGAGGCCCUGCUGUUUCAUGGCCCCUGCAGCAGCAGCAGGGGCAGCAGCAGCAGCAGGAGCAGCAGCAGCAGGGGCAGGGGCAGCAGCAGCAGGGGCAGCAGCAGCAGGGGCAGCAGGGGCAGGGGCAGCAGCAGCAGCAGGGGCAGCAGGGGCAGCAGCAGCAGGGGCAGCAGCAGCAGCAGCAGGGGCAGCAGGGGCAGCAGGGGCAGCAGGGGCAGCAGCAG
rnacentral:lncRNA from 1 species